rnacentral:rRNA from 1 species
AACGAACGCUGGCGGCAUGCCUAACACAUGCAAGUCGAACGAUCCCUUCGGGGAUAGUGGCGCACGGGUGCGUAACGCGUGGGAACCUGCCCUUAGGUUCGGAAUAACUCAGAGAAAUUUGAGCUAAUACCGGAUAAUGUCUUCGGACCAAAGAUUUAUCGCCUUUGGAUGGGCCCGCGUUGGAUUAGCUAGUUGGUGGGGUAAAGGCCUACCAAGGCGACGAUCCAUAGCUGGUCUGAGAGGAUGAUCAGCCACACUGGGACUGAGACACGGCCCAGACUCCUACGGGAGGCAGCAGUGGGGAAUAUUGGACAAUGGGCGAAAGCCUGAUCCAGCAAUGCCGCGUGAGUGAUGAAGGCCUUAGGGUUGUAAAGCUCUUUUACCCGGGAUGAUAAUGACAGUACCGGGAGAAUAAGCCUCGGCUAACUCCGUG